GGACUACCGGGGUAUCUAAUCCUGUUUGCUCCCCACGCUUUCGCACAUGAGCGUCAGUAUUGGUCCAGGCAGUCGCUUUCGCCACUGAUGUUCCUUCAGAUAUCUACGCAUUUCACCGCUACACCUGAAAUUCCACUGCCCUCUCCCAUACUCUAGCAAAGCAGUUUCGAAUGCAGUUCCCAGGUUAAGCCUGGGGAUUUCACAUCCGACUUACUAAGCCACCUACGUGCGCUUUACGCCCAGUAAUUCCGAUUAACGCUCGCACCCUCUGUAUUACCGCGGCUGCUGGCAC
rnacentral:rRNA from 1 species